GAUGAACGCUGGCGGCGUGCCUAAUACAUGCAAGUCGAGCGAACGGACGAGAAGCUUGCUCCUCUGACGUUAGCGGCGGACGGGUGAGUAACACGUGGAUAACCUACCUAUAAGACUGGGAUAACUUCGGGAAACCGGAGCUAAUACCGGAUGAUAUUUUGAACCGCAUGGUUCAAUAGUGAAAGACGGUCUUGCUGUCACUUAUAGAUGGAUCCGCGCGGCAUUAGCUAGUUGGUAAGGUAACGGCUUACCAAGGCAACGAUGCAUAGCCGACCUGAGAGGUGGUCGGCCAACCCUGAACUGGAACCACGUCCCGACUCCUACGGGAGGCAGCAGGAGGGAAACCUCCGGCAUGGGCGGAAGCCCUAAGGAGCAAAGGCGGGGGAGGUGAUAAGGUCUUCGGAUCGUAAAACUCUUGUAUUAGGGAAGAAAAAAAGUGGAAGGAACCGUGGACCGCUUGACGGGACCUAAUCAAAAAGCCCCCGCUAACUUCGGG
rnacentral:rRNA from 1 species